GCAAGGUCUUUCUGUGAAUGAGGAGGAGUCAGGACAGAGGGUUGGAGAGGAACUCGCUUGAAUCUGAGGGAAGCCAUAUCAUUUGAAUGAAGCCAGGGAAAGCAGAGAAAACGGAGGGGGACUGCAUCAAAGCUUUCUGGAUGGAGAAUUCUCAGCUACGUCUCCAGCACCAUGUCUGUCUGCAUGCUGCAUGAUCCCCACCAUGAUGAUGAUGCACUAACGUCCAAGACUAUGAUGAAGCCAAGGCGAGGAGAUAGUACCUGGUGAGCAGCGCUUUCUGGCCUAAUGCUGUGGUCUUCCUACCCUAGGGAAUCACUUCCUUUCACAUUAGGAUCAUCGGUACAUUGGUCCAUGAAAGUGAGGGGAACAGAAGUGGCAAACAGGGUUCAGACAGCUGUGGAUACCAUGGAGACAGUCCUC